UACGUAGGGUGCGAGCGUUGUCCGGAAUUACUGGGCGUAAAGAGCUCGUAGGUGGUUUGUCGCGUUGUUCGUGAAAUCUCACGGCUUAACUGUGAGCGUGCGGGCGAUACGGGCAGACUGGAGUACUGCAGGGGAGACUGGAAUUCCUGGUGUAGCGGUGGAAUGCGCAGAUAUCAGGAGGAACACCGGUGGCGAAGGCGGGUCUCUGGGCAGUAACUGACGCUGAGGCGCGAAAGCCAGGGGAGCGAACGGG
rnacentral:rRNA from 1 species